rnacentral:rRNA from 1 species
AUGCUGGAGGCCGGGGCGCCCCCGUCCGCGGCCACCAUCACCUCGCUCGGUCGCUUCGUGGCCGCAGACGGCGAGGGCGCUGAUGAGGCCUUCGGGCUCGUCUCCACCAUGCGGCAGAAGUACGGCAUCGCGCUGCGCCUCCGGUCCUACAGCCCCGUGCUUGCCGUAAUCCGGCGCGCCAGGGAGGCUGGCAAGGCCUCCGCGGUCGAGGCCCUCAUGGCGGCCUCCGCUGUAUCGCAGGAAGAGCCCGAGCUUGCCGCGCUCCUUGAGGUCAGCGCAAAGGUCAGGGACACAGACAAGGUGUAUGAGUAUAUGCACAAGCUGUGGCGAGCUAUUGGCUGUGUGAUAGAGGAGACCGCCAAGGUCUUGGAGGGGCGGUUCCGGAUUGAGACGGCGGCAACUGCUCAUAAGCCUGAGUGGGAUGUGUGUCAGGUUAAGGACGCCCUUGUGGCGAACGGCGGUGGGUGCCAUCAGCUGGGGUGGCUUCGGACCGGACCAUGGAUGGUGCAGCGGGUGAGAGCUGGGGCAGACGACAAGUGA